AUGCAAGUUCGAACGGGGUGCCAUUCUUUCGGGAGGUGGUUGCUAGCUGGCGGAUNNCCUUNAUAACGCGUUAGGAACCUGCUCGCACAGAUGGGGGAUAACGCNUGGGAAACCGGCGCGUAAUACCGCAUGUGGUCAGAGAUGAAGAAAGCAGCAAUGCGCUGUGUGAGGGGCCUGCGUCCGAUUAGCUGGUUGGUGGGGUAAGGGCCUACCAAGGCGACGAUCGGUAGCUGGUCUGANAGGAUGGUCAGCCACACUGGGACUGANACACGGCCCAGACUCCUACGGGAGGCAGCAGUUAGGAAAUUUUCACAAUGGGGAAACCCUGAUGGAGUAACNCCGCGUGGAGGAUGACGGCCUUCNGGUUGUAAACUUCUUUUCUGUGNGAAGAGUANAAGACGGUACCACAGGAAUAAGCAUCNGCUAACUACGUGCCAGCAGCCGCGGUAAUACGUACGAUGCNAGCGUUGUCCGGAAUUACUGGGCGUAAAGAGCGCGUAGGCGGUGCUGUACGACAUGUGUGAAAGCCCCCGGCUCAACUGGAGAGGGUCAUGUGUAACGGCAGCACUCUGAGUGCACGANAGGGAAGUGGAACUCCUGGAGUACCGGUGAAAUGCCUAGAGACCCCGAUGAACACCAAUUGNCUAAAGGCGGCUUCCUGGUCUGCGAACUGACUUCUGUGGGCGCGAAAGCUUAAGGGAAACGAAACGGGNAUUANAUACCCCGGUAGUCCUAUCCGUUAAACGAUGGAAACUANGUGGUGCNNANGNAUCCAACCCCUCCCNUGGCNANAAUCAAACCCAUUAAGUGUCCCCCCCU
rnacentral:rRNA from 1 species